CGCAGCCUUGAACUCCUAGGCUCAAGCCAUCCUCCUGCUUCAGCCUCCCAAGUACUGGGACUACAAGCAGCCUCGCUAAUUCUUAAAUUCUUUGUAGAGAGGGGGUUCUCGCUAUCUUGCCCAGGAUGGAAAUGAUCCUCAUACCUCGGCCUCCCAAAGUGCUGAGAUUACAGGGCCACGUAUAUAUCACCGGUGUUGGACCUUUGAGGAUUGCACGUUUGACCGCAUCUCAGCACUCUUAGGGGAACCUAAGCUACACUACUACUGCUGCAAUACGCACCUGUGUAACCACGAGCAAGAUCAAAACCAUGGGACCACCUUAUCAGGGAAAACAGUUUUUCUGCUUGUGACCCCGUUUCUUGCAACAGCCUGGAACUUUUAUGUCUAAAUCAAGCCCAGGAGAGAUUGUAAACUACCCCCUCCACCACCACCCGCUUAUUCCCCAUUUCCUGGCUGCUGCAAACAUAACAAAGGCUUUAUAUUUUCCAAUGAGAUCCUCUUGGGAAGCAAUAAAAUUAGCUCAAGCAUUUUGGAUCAGAGAGAGAGGGACUCAGAGACUUUGAAGACCAGUCCUGUUUGCAGGGAAGCUCCACUUGAGGGAGAAGUUUAAGAGUGAAGCAGGUGUGACUUGCACUAGGUUACCUGCUUUCUUCCUCUGCUCUCUGGAGGACCAGCUUUGCAGUGACAGCUUGUUAGGUUCUCCAAGACCCUCAGGUGUUUCCCCUCUGGUUCCCUGGAUGUGUUAAAUAGUAUGAUUCGCAUUUGGGAGGGGUGGUGCCAGGGGAUUCUUUUCAACAGUUCUCUCUCACAUGGAGCCUUUCUUCAGCUUUAUGGCUCCUGUGUUACUAUGGCAGCACAACAGAUGUUCCAGAUGUGGGCUGUCAGGAGCAACAAGAUCAGAGCUAGAAGACAUCUGGCAGGGAAGGCAGAAGCAUCCUAGAGGGCAGGGCAUGAAAACGCAAAGUCUAUCGUUAGACAGCUACCAGUAGCUGAAAUUUGAGUUUUCUUGUCCCUAAAUUUUGUAUGGGCUUUGCUGUCUGUCUUUCACUGGAAAAAUUUAAUAGCAUAAAUUAAUGGUAUGUUAAAGCUA